rnacentral:lncRNA from 1 species
GAUUCUUAUAUCAGUCACUCUAUCUCUGUUUAUUGUGCCAAAGACUGAGAAUCAGUGCAGUGGAAAGCCUGUUUUUGACUGUCAGGACAGCAUACACUUUUCAAUACUGGAAAAGCUAUAUAUUCUAAAGAGCAAGUUAUUACAAAAUUAUGCUGAGUUGUAUCUUUUUUUUGGUACUAAUAGUAGGAAAAUAAUGCACUGGUGGGUCCUUUGACAGAGAUAUCUUAGAGAAAAUGUUUAAGUAGUUAAAGGAUUCAAGGAAAAUACAGGAAAAAUGUAUGGAAUUUGAUGUUUACGUGAUCUGGAUUAAUGUCAUUUUUAAACUUCAGACAUAUCCAAUAGGCUAAAAUGACUUACAAAGAACCAUGUCUGUGUGCGUGUGUAUAUUGAUAAAUGGGUGUGAUUGAAUAUAUAUAUAUAUACAAACGCAUUCUUAAGUACUAUUACCCAGGUAUAAAUUCUUUUUUCAGGAUUUUUUAGAUAGUUAGUAGAAUAAAAAUAAUUUUAAAAUGUCAUACUUUAUAGUUUAAUUUUAAGGAAAAGAUUGGUUAUUUUCAAUUAUUAAAAGUUAAAUAGGCCAAAUCACUUUUUAUGCAAUCAUGUUUUAUACAGUGGUCUCAUUGCACAUUGUGUUUUUCUGCACUUUUUACGGUGUCCUUAUCAAGCUGGUAUCUCAAUAUACACUCUAAAGAGAAACUCAUUUAAUGAUUGUGCCUUGUAUUCUAUUAUUUUUUGCAUCAUUAGUAAAAUUAAGUUGUCUAUUGUAAAUGAUAACUAUAUGACUUAGGAGAAUGUAUUACUAUAUGUACUGCUAUGGAAAAAGGAAAGCAGUUAUUUAUUUGUUUAUGGUACAUUAGUUAUUUUAUAUCUUGAGAACCAACAAAUGCCAUUUCUAUUGUUUAAAUUACUUUUUUUUUUUUAAGUUUUAAGAAUGUAGUAUUUUCUGAGGACUGAUGUGGUUCAAAAAUGUAACCAAAUCUUUCAGAUACUGCAUUUUUAAAAAGGAAGAAUGGGGAAAAUAUAUAUCAGCAUGACCCUGAUAUAGAGAAUAAAGUCUUUAAUUGAACCUUGGCAAAAUAUGUAAUUAGAUUAUAAUUAUUUCCUUGUUUCCAAUAAGGAUUAAUGUUAAACUGUCAUUUAACUGUCUUGAAGAAGAAUGAAAAGUGAUGCAUUUCGGCUUUUUAGAUCAUUUGUAAUGAAAUUUGUACAGAAACCCUCCAGUGAAACUAAGUGAACCAUUUUCCAGACCUUGACUGGAUUGCUGUGAUUUUACAGUUAAAAAAUAAUUUCAAAUUUUUUUAGUUUUUUUUGUACAUUUAUUUUUUUCUAACAAAUAUAUUGAACUAUAUAAUUAAAAUUAAGUAGUUAACUCUUAAUGCAGAAAUGGAUGAUGUGUUAUAUAGAAAAAUGAGUCAAUGUCACCAUUACUGAAAAUGAUAGUGUGUACAUUGGAGAUUUAAGUCAUUAAAGUAAUUAGUUGCUUUUGAAGGGAAUCUAUUUGAGAAAUGUAAUUUCCUGAUGUUAUCUGCAUUGUAUUAGAAGAUUAGACUAAACUCCAUUUUUAUAAAUAAAAGUAGCUAUAAGGUGUGUUCCGUAUAAGGAAGUGUGCACAGUCUUAGUGUGGAGGACCUCUAGAACGGUGCACAGGGAGCUCCAACCUCUGAGCAGGGAAAUAAGUAUUUCCAUCUGUCUUAAAACAAGGAAAUAGAACAUUUCUGUUUUAAAGACACUGCAUACUCAGUGACCGUAUUUGGACAUUUUUAGACACUGGUUUCUUGGUAAGGCAAAAUGACUUGGAUUGUAUUAUUUGUAACUGAAAACUUAAGAUAUAUUAAUACCAGAUACAGAUUUUUUUAUUUUUAUAAUUUAGCUUCUGUACAUUGCAGAAGAUAAAUUAUGAACUUUAAGUCAUCAUGUUUUGGUUUGUUUUUACUGCUUGGAAAAGUCUCCUCUUUGAGGCAGUAACAUCCUAUAUACUGCUUAUAGGCCAGAAGGAAUUGUUAGCGCUUGUCUUAGGUAAGCAAUAAGAAAAAUCUCAAGUUUACUGAAACUUUCAGAAAGGAAAUUUACUAUGUACAUGGAACAUAGAUACCAGUUUUCAGGCUGCGUUCAGUGGUCCAUGGCUGAAAUCCCAGCAUUUGGGAAGUGGAGACAGAAAACAUCAAGAGUUCAAAGUUACCUUUAGCUGCAAACCACGUUCAGGACUAGGGCUACAACAGCAGCAAUACCAAAAAGAAAAACUCAGUUUAUAUAUAUUUCUAAUAUUCAACCAUACUGUUCUCUUAUGCUAUCCUGGCUUCACAAAGCCCAAGUUUAACAGAAGUUUCAGUGUUGUCACAGGAGUAGUUUAAAGACUCAGUCUAAUUGCAGUCUACCAGCCUUUGGAAGUAGAAAUGU